UUCAUUCCAAAAAGAAACCCAAAGAACCCCAUCAGUUCAACUAACGUGACUCGACCCCUGCGCCUUCAUCUUCUUCUCCACUUGAACUACAGACCCAAAACCAGCAAAAUCGCGUCCAACUCCAAAUGAAAAUCAGAGCGUGAGUCUAGCAGCCUAGGGCGUCGUCCUCUCCCUCUCUCCUUAUCCGUUUGCACGGAAUCCAGGUGUCGAGAUAUCCCAUCGCCUUUGUCCUCUCAUUAGAAAUCGAACGACUGCGAUUAUUAGUCUGCUGAAGAGGUAUACAAUUUUUCGAGCUGGUAACCUUAUUCCUUAAAGAGAAUUCAAAUUUGAAAUUCAAAUUCAAUCGGUUUCCCCCUCUUUCUGCCCUAAAUCUCCCCUUAUAAAUAUCCGCUCAUUCUUCAUUGUUUAGUUGGAGAAAAAAGCCCCGAAAAUUUGGUAAAGGGUUGAGGAAAAAGGGUUGGAGAUAGUUACAGUGAGUUGGAGUGGGGGGGGGGGGGGGGAAUGUGGAAGUUUAGAGUCAGGACUUCUUUUGAAAAGUCACAUUUAUAAUCAAGAACUUUUAUACGUUUUCUUUAAUCCUAAGUUGUGAGACAACCUUUGUGAGAGUCUGGUUUGCAUUUCGUGGUCAAUUGCUCGAGAUUCAAACUCGUGUGGUGGAAGAGCCCUUCCCUACUCGUUUGGUCUCAUUUUGUUGGCUCAAGAAAGGUAUUGGCGUUUCCUUUUGUAUUUUGUUUCAAUGUAGCAUAUUGCUCUGUUUUUGGUUUCAUUCUUCUAACUUAAGUUUGUUGCAUCUGUAAGAGUUGAUCACAUUUCUGGAUAUGACUUUAUUUUAUUUCUAAAAUAAGAAAAAGUUAUACAAAUCCCUCCUUCAUUUCGAUAUGUCUUAUUUGAAAGUAGUAGCUAUUAGCUAAGCUAUAGGAUUUUAUUUGAGUGAUUAGUAUUAAGUUCUAUGUAUUCAAGAUUGAUUUGAUAUUAUGGUUGUGACUAAGUGUUAUAUACAAGGAUAUGCUUAUGGUUUCUAGUAAUGUAUAUGUUACUACAGGGUUAUGCCGUCAGUUACUGCAAAUAGAAAACUUACUCAUGAUCAUUUAUUUAUACACUAUGCAUUUUGUUUUAUUUUUCGUUUUGAGCACCUAGAUAUCAAUUAUUUGUGUAAAAUAAUUCUUGUUCGCUCUAUUAAAUUUAACUCAAGUGAAAAGGUUCUUCGUUAAUUCUCUUCCUUCCAUUUUGCAUGUGAAACUCCAUCCGAGUCCCUUCGGACUCCCCGCUUAGCAUAUCAUCGAGUUGGAUUUCUUCGAGUUGGCUUCUUUGUUUUUCGAGUCAAGGGAACCGAUGAUCAGGGGUGAAACAUCGAUUCCAAGCCCCGAAAAGUUUGAAAACAUGCUACAUGUCUGCUAUAUACAGUGGUGUACAGGUAAUGUCUACAUGAUAUACAGACUUAAGUGCAGUGAAUACAAGACUGAAAAUUGAAAUAUAGGUCGCAGGAGUUGAAGAGCGUUGAAUACACUUGGUAUACAGUCCGAUGUACAUGAAAAUCGGUCAAAAUAUGAUCUAUAUACAACAAUAUACAUUUGUUGUAUACACAGGUGUUUGAGAGUGAAAAGGAGUCAAACUCAUUCAUUUGCAGGACAGGUUUUGGGACAAAAGCCCAUGAGAUUUAAAAUUGGUACAAAGGGCCCAAAUUCAAACUCUCCGUUAUUCUAUUUAUUUAUUUGUAAUUGUCUUUCUUAACAUUUUGGCUUAGCUUAUUUAAAUCCCCAAGAUAAUCAUUUCUCUUUUAUUUCUAAUAUAUAUAUAUUUAUUACUUAGCUUUAUUUUCAC
rnacentral:lncRNA from 1 species